AUCUUGCCAUAUAUAUAAAAAAUAAUAAAAUCCAUGGGGUAAAUCAGUAUGGACAAACGACCCUGCCCGAUACCUCCUUGCAAUAGGUUCCCAAAAGUCUAAGGACAGGACACUCCCUCCGGCUUGUAGCCUCCCAGCUGGGUACCAGCAAUACCGGCUACUCCUCCCAGGCUGCCCGCCCCGAGCCACUCGAGUGGGCUGUGAAACCAUGCGGCGACGCCGGGAGCGACCAUCCCAACUUGGCUUAAGCCCCUAGCUCAUCCCCAACAUCCAUUUUAAGUUGUGCUCCCCUCUGGCAAUUCAAGCGGCGGUUUGGCUGUCUCUUACCUUGACGCGCUGUCAAUUCUUCAUGUCCUUAAAAUCCAAAGCCAAGGAUGCACCGCACACACACACACGGGUCCAGGAGCUCUUCCUUGACUUCCCCGGCCUCGGCUCGUCCUGAAUUUCCUUCCAAAGGGAUCCGGGGUGGGGUGGAGGGCCGUUCAAACGCCCUCGCAGCGGAGACGCCUCCAAGCGCCUUUCCACGCCGGAGGAACUGGAGACGGGACCAACCUUUCCGGCACCCGGAGCUUCCGUGCCCCUCCUCGGCCAACUUGGCGGCCUAUUUAGUGGUCCUCUUUCACCCACAGACGCGGCAGCCAAUUCCCGGGCGUCUGGCGAACGGGAAGCCUGGCAUUCCCACUGCACCCACUCUGGCUUUCUCUUCGAUAAUACCCCUCCUCCCUUUCUCCCCUUCAGUUUGGGAAAAAUCGGCUCUCGCUCGGUUCAGGUGGGGACGAGGCGGAAGAGGCGCUGGGAGAAGAGCUUCGGAACCCCGUUUCCCUGGGCAGCCCCGGGCGCUGAGCUCGUCUGCGCCCAGGAAACUUUGCGGGGAGGCAGCGGCGGCCGAGCCGGGCUGGGCGGGCGCCAGCUACUGUCCCAGAGCCCAGCCUGACACCACCGGAGUCAAGAAUUACCCAGUCCCCAUCUCCACUCUCCAGGGCCACCCCCGCCCCUUCUACCACGGAGAAUUGAAGUGGCUGCAGUGGCUCACCAGGGAACUGAGGGGGCUCCCCGAGGUCCUUCGAAUAGAGGAGCCUACUCAUCGUUUUCUGGACACCAUCCAGUCUCGUUCCAUCUUUCCUGCCCAUGCCCUUGCGUACCAAUUCCCUCAAGGAACUCCUCACACUCCCUGA
rnacentral:lncRNA from 1 species